rnacentral:rRNA from 1 species
UAUGAACGCUGGCGGCGUGCCUAAUACAUGCAAGUCGAGCGAACAGACGAGGAGCUUGCUCCUCUGACGUUAGCGGCGGACGGGUGAGUAACACGUGGAUAACCUACCUAUAAGACUGGGAUAACUUCGGGAAACCGGAGCUAAUACCGGAUAAUAUAUUGAACCGCAUGGUUCAAUAGUGAAAGACGGUUUUGCUGUCACUUAUAGAUGGAUCCGCGCCGCAUUAGCUAGUUGGUAAGGUAACGGCUUACCAAGGCGACGAUGCGUAGCCGACCUGAGAGGGUGAUCGGCCACACUGGAACUGAGACACGGUCCAGACUCCUACGGGAGGCAGCAGUAGGGAAUCUUCCGCAAAGGGCGAAAGCCUGACGGAGCAACGCCGCGUGAGUGAUGAAGGUCUUCGGAUCGUAAAACUCUGUUAUUAGGGAAGAACAAAUGUGUAAGUAACUAUGCACGUCUUGACGGUACCUAAUCAGAAAGCCACGGCUAACUACGUG